rnacentral:rRNA from 1 species
UACGUAGGGUGCGAGCGUUGUCCGGAAUUAUUGGGCGUAAAGAGCUCGUAGGCGGUUUGUUGCGUCGGCCGUGAAAACCUGCAGCUUAACUGUGGGCCUGCGGCCGAUACGGGCAGACUUGAGUUCGGUAGGGGAGACUGGAAUUCCUGGUGUAGCGGUGAAAUGCGCAGAUAUCAGGAGGAACACCGGUGGCGAAGGCGGGUCUCUGGGCCGAUACUGACGCUGAGACGCGAAAGCGUGGGGAGCAAACAGG